rnacentral:piRNA from 1 species
UAAAGUAACAUAUAUUUGGGAGCCAUCGAC